rnacentral:rRNA from 1 species
UACGAAGGGAGCUAGCGUUGUUCGGAAUCACUGGGCGUAAAGCGCACGUAGGCGGAUUUGUAAGUCAGGGGUGAAAUCCCGGGGCUCAACCUCGGAACUGCCUUUGAUACUGCAAAUCUCGAGUCCGAUAGAGGUGGGCGGAAUUCCUAGUGUAGAGGUGAAAUUCGUAGAUAUUAGGAAGAACACCGGUGGCGAAGGCGGCCCACUGGAUCGGUACUGACGCUGAGGUGCGAAAGCGUGGGGAGCAAACAGG